UUGAUAUUUUGUGCUUAUUAUUGUUGUACGUAGCUGCUUUGUGUUGUUGUACAUCAUGGUGUCUAUGGGUUUCUUCGACCUGUAAAACCCUAAAAAAGAAAGAUUCACAUCCAGUUGAUCAACACCGCCGUUCCUUCCCGAUCUUAACAUCACCACUACCAUCCAUCUCCGUCAGUCCGUCACCACCACCAUUCCCCUCUCCUCUCUGUCUCUUCCCUCUGUGAAACUAUGACCACCAUCUUUGCCAUCUCCAAUAGCCGCUGUAAACAACCCAGCCCUGAAGUACCGAAAUUGUAAAAUCGGUUAUUGUUAGCGGUGAUUUAAAGUCGACGCCAUCGAUUCCGCUUGAGGAUACGCCUUACUUUUGACUCAUCGCGUACAUGUAACCAAGAUAGAGAGUGAGAAACAUCAAAAGAGGUGAGAUGCAGGUUUGAGAGAAAAAGGGAGUCUGAGAGAGAAAGAGAGAGAUGCAGAGCAAUGUAGAGAGAGAAUGGUGGUCUACGAAGUCAGAUCGAUGACUGUUGUGGUACGCUUCGAGCUUAAACAAUGCCGCCUUAACCGGCGAUGCCACGACUGGCCGGCUUAAAACCUCAACGAUGUCGUUGCUUGGCCGGGUUUUUGCGGAUCUGAUUGGGUUUGGACAUGAUGUCAAGGUACACCUUUACUGAACUAGGUUACUGAAUUUCAUAUCUGUGUGAUAUUGAAUGUUUAUUUCACUUUUGAUGGAAAGAAGAUGCAAAACUCAAGAUCCUCAUUGAAAACAAUGGUACUGGAGACAUCCGAACAGCAGCAGCAGAGAGAGACAAAACUUUGACAGAAAUUGGGCAGAGAGUUUUGCUGAAAAAGGGGUUCUCGGAAUUGCACCAGCUCUCGCAUACAUCGUCUUUGGUGUUGUUACACGUUUAUCGCCUGCUUCUGUGUUCAUCGUUGCAGGGUGGUAGGUAUGAGACAACUAUCUUCUUGGGGUGUUGGGUCAAGUAUUGACUGUUGUUUGCACAGGUAGAAAGAAUGGUUAAUGAAGCUGACAAGUUCGCAAAAGAAAAGGACACGAAGAACCAAGCAGAUUCGGUUGUGUACCAAACAGAGAAACAACUAAAAGGGACUAGGAGACAAAGUUCCUGCAUAUGUGAAAGAAAAGCUGGAGACCAAACUCGGUGAGCUCAGGACGGCCGUAUCUGGCAGGUCAACACAAACCAUAAAAGACACCACGGAUGCACUCAACCAAGAGGUGAUGCAGCUGGGCCAGUCUCUCUACAACUAGCCUGGCCCGGGGUCAAGGUGGACUUUGUCAACCACCGGCUACCAGUUUUGGGUAUUUUAUGGUCUGGCUUUCUAGCUUCUCUUGGUAACAACAUUUUCUACGUUUCAAAUUCCCUUGAUUUUAUUUACCAUUUUCUAUUUUUUGUAGGCACAAUUUAUUGCGGAGAAAAUUUCCGGCUACAUCUUUUGCUGGAAGUUUGGUUCAACAUUUUCAAUUGGUUUUAACAGUUUGGAUGUUUGGUUCAACCAUCGUAAACCAAUUUUUCUAAAGAAACAUAAUUAUGUAUUAAUUUAUGUUUAUAUAUAUGAUGUAUUUAUAACUAGAUAUCAUUAAUAUAUGAUGGGGUUUGUUGGAUUGGGAUUAAUGUGGUUGUUGUUCUUAAGCAUUUGCACACGUUUUUGAUUUGGUUGAUGUUUUUGUUGUUUUUUUUUUUGUACUGUACAGAUCCAGCUUCUACGGGUAUGACAGAGGAUCCAAUCCAUUAGACAUCUUCACAAGCUGAUGCUUUGUCGAUUAGUACGUGGCGAACACUCCAGAAGUAAACCAAAAGACAAGGUUUUGGUCACCUAACAUGCGCUCACACUUUUGACGUAAAGAGGACAUGGUUUAGGCGAACCCUUUUUUGACAACACCUGCCUACCCACCGGAUUCAUUUAAAAACAAGCAAAGACCAUGAAGCGCGACGCAACGCGCGCACCAGUAAACCCCUAGUUUAACUCUAAAAACAAAUAUAAAUAAAGAAAAAAGGGAUUCGAAUGUAGUGUUAACUGGACCAGGCCUUCAAGCCAUUUUCAUUAGAUGGUAGCCCAGUCCAUGUCUAUUUGUGCUUCCUUUUGGUGUGUUUUAAUUAUGUUUCAUACUUUCAUAUAUGCUUAUUUGAAAUUGAAAAAUA